CCUACGGGAGACAGCAGUAGGGAAUCUUCGGCAAUGGGCGCAAGCCUGAACGAGCAACGCCGCGUGAAUGAGGAAGGUUUUCGGAUCGUAAAGCUCUGUUGAUGGGGAAAAAGAGCGGAGAGAGGAACUGCUAUCUGAUUGACAUUAUCCAUCGAGGAAGCCACGGCUAACUACGUGCCAGCAGCCGCGGUAAUACGUAGGUGGCGAGCGUUAUCCGGAUUGAUUGGGCGUAAAGGGGGCGUAGGCGGCCUGCUAAGUCUGGAGUGAAAGGUACCGGCUCAACCGGUACAGGCUCUGGAAACUGGCGAGCUAGAGUGCAGGAGAGGGCGGUGGAACUCCAUGUGUAGCGGUGAAAUGCGUAGAUAUAUGGAAGAACACCAGUGGCGAAGGCGGCCGCCUGGCCUGUUACUGACGCUGAGGCACGAAAGCGUGGGGAGCAAAUAGGAUUAGAUACCCGUGUAGUC
rnacentral:rRNA from 1 species